rnacentral:rRNA from 1 species
UACAGAGGGUGCAAGCGUUGUUCGGAAUUAUUGGGCGUAAAGCGCGUGUAGGCGGCUUUGCAAGUCGGGUGUGAAAGCCCUCAGCUCAACUGAGGAAGUGCGCCCGAAACUGCAGAGCUUGAGUGCCGGAGAGGGUGGCGGAAUUCCCCAAGUAGAGGUGAAAUUCGUAGAGAUCAGGAGGAACACCCAUGGCGAAGGCAGCUCUCUGGUCGACCUCUGACGCUGAGACGCGAAAGCGUGGGGAGCGAACGGG